AACGAACGCUGGCGGCAUGCCUAACACAUGCAAGUCGAACGAGACCUUCGGGUCUAGUGGCGCACGGGUGCGUAACGCGUGGGAACCUGCCUUUAGGUUCGGAAUAACUCAGAGAAAUUUGAGCUAAUACCGGAUGAUGUCUUCGGACCAAAGAUUUAUCGCCUUUAGAUGGGCCCGCGUUGGAUUAGCUAGUUGGUGGGGUAAAGGCCUACCAAGGCGACGAUCCAUAGCUGGUCUGAGAGGAUGAUCAGCCACACUGGGACUGAGACACGGCCCAGACCCCUCCGGGAGGCCGCAGUGGGGAAUUUUGGCCAAUGGGCGAAAGCCUGUCCCCCCAUUGCCCCGUGGGUGAUGAAGGCCUUGGGUUUUUAACGCUCUUUUCCCCGAGAUGCUAAUGCCCGUUUCGGGAGAAUAAGCCCCGCCUAACCCCGG
rnacentral:rRNA from 1 species